AACAGCGGAGAGUUUGAUCCUGGCUCAGGAUGAACGCUAGCGGCAGGCUUAACACAUGCAAGUCGAGCGGCAGCGGGGUAGGAGCUUGCUCCUACCGCCGGCGAGCGGCGCACGGGUGAGUAACACGUAUGCAACCUGCCCUUGUCAGGGGGACAACCCGCCGAAAGGCGGGCUA
rnacentral:rRNA from 1 species